UUCGGUGUGAUAAUUACUGCGCCGUGGAUGUGAAGUAUAACAGUGUUCGUGCUUACAAUCGUCUUGAAGAAAGACAACACUUUGACAAUCUGACCUCAAAUCAGGUA
rnacentral:rRNA from 1 species